AGAUAUGCGAUGAAGCGGGAGGUUGCGGCAUUAAGCCGGUUUUUCCGUGGAGUAUGUCCGAUUUUAAACCGGGCGA
rfam:Ruminococcus sp. CAG:108 genomic scaffold, scf175